rnacentral:rRNA from 1 species
GACGAACGCUGGCGGCGUGCUUAACACAUGCAAGUCGAACGGUGAAGCGCCUUCCUUUUUGGUGGGUGUGGAUGAGUGGCGAACGGGUGAGUAACACGUUAGUAACCUUCCCCCUUCUUCUGGAUAACCGCAUGCAAGUGUGGCUAAUACGGGAUAUUCUGGGUCUGUCGCAUGAUGGGUCUGGGAAAGAUUUUGUGUCGGUGGGGGAUGGACUCGCGGUGUAUCAGCUGGUUGGUGGGGUGAUGGCGUACCAAGGCAGCGAUGAAGAGCCGACCUGAGAGGAUGGUGGACGGCCACAGAGGGGCGGCGACACGGAGCAGACUCCGACGGGAGGCAGCAGUGGGGAAUAUUGAACAAUGGGAGGAAGGAUGAAGCAGCGACGCGGCGGGAGUGAUGGAGGCCGUAGGGUUGUGAACUGCUUUCGCGAGUGAAGCAGGCCUGCAUCGUUUGUGGGUGGGUUGACAGUAGCUGGACAAGAAGCGCCGGCUAACUACGUG